rnacentral:rRNA from 1 species
GUGGGGAAUAUUGGACAAUGGGGGGAACCCUGAUCCAGCCAUGCCGCGUGUGUGAAGAAGGCCUUUUGGUUGUAAAGCACUUUAAGCGAGGAGGAGGCUACCGAGAUUAAUACUCUUGGAUAGUGGACGUUACUCGCAGAAUAAGCACCGGCUAACUCUGUGCCAGCAGCCGCGGUAAUACAGAGGGUGCAAGCGUUAAUCGGAUUUACUGGGCGUAUAGCGCGCGUAGGUGGCCAAUUAAGUCAAAUGUGAAAUCCCCGAGCUUAACUUGGGAAUUACAUUCGAUACUGGUUGGCUAGAGUAUGGGAGAGGAUGGUAGAAUUCCAGGUGUAGCGGUGAAAUGCGUAGAGAUCUGGAGGAAUACCGAUGGCGAAGGCAGCCAUCUGGCCUAAUACUGACACUGAGGUGAGAAAGCAUGGGGAGCAAACAGGAUUAGAAACCCCUGUAGUCC